rnacentral:rRNA from 1 species
UGGGGAAUAUUGCACAAUGGGCGAAAGCCUGAUGCAGCAACGCCGCGUGAGCGAUGAAGGUCUUCGGAUUGUAAAGCUCUGUCUUUUGGGACGAUAAUGACAGUACCAAAGGAGGAAGCCACGGCUAACUACGUGCCAGCAGCUGCGGUAAUACGUAGGUGGCGAGCGUUGUCCGGAUUUACUGGGCGUAAAGGGUGCGUAGGCGGAUGUUUAAGUGAGAUGUGAAAUACCCGGGCUUAACUUGGGUGCU